rnacentral:rRNA from 1 species
AUUGAACGCUGGCGGCAUGCUUUACACAUGCAAGUCGAACGGACUUAGGUGCUUGCACCUAGGUUAGUGGCGAACGGGUGAGUAAUGCAUCGGAACGUACCGUGUAAUGGGGGGAUAACGCAGCGAAAGUUGUGCUAAUACCGCAUACGAUCUACGGAUGAAAGCAGGGGAUCGCAAGACCUUGCGUUAUACGAGCGGCCGAUGUCGGAUUAGCUAGUUGGUAGGUAAAGGCCUACCAAGGCAACGAUCCGUAGCGGGUCUGAGAGGAUGAUCCGCCACACUGGGACUGAGACACGGCCCAGACUCCUACGGGAGGCAGCAGUGGGGAAUUUUGGACAAUGGGCGCAAGCCUGAUCCAGCCACUGCCGCGUGAGUGAAGAAGG